rnacentral:lncRNA from 1 species
AGCCUCUUAUGUUUUUAUUGUUUGUAAAUUAUAUAUGAUGAGCUUUUGGUUUUAAUGUUGCAUGUUAGUGUUAUGUGCUUAGUAUUUUCAUUUAUUCGGGGUGUGAUUCAUCAACUUCUUUCUUUUAAGGGUGUUAUUUUCUGGAAAAGGCAACUAAAAGGAAAAAUCAGUUACGUAAGCAAAAAUCAUAAGGUCAUGGUGGAAAUUCCACCUUCAUUGCGGUCUGCCCCUAGCUGCCUAAAUUACGACCUUUGGUUUACCUUCAUUGCAGCCUCCAACACCUUCAUUGUGUUGGCUUUAAGGGGGUGGAUUUAGUCCCACGUUGGAUAGAUAGGACUCUUGAGAAGAGUUGAUAAAGAGGAGACACUCCUCACCUUACAAGCCGGUUCUAUAAAGAUGAGUUAGGCACCAAAUUUCAACAUGGCAGCAGAGCCUAUCCUAGAUCUAUCAUUGGGCUUCCCACAUUGUCUACGCUUUAGGUCUAUUGGGCCGGGCUGAAACGUGAGGGGGUGUGUUGGAAAUUCCACCUUCAUUGCGGUCUGCCCCCAGUCGCCUAAAUUGCGGCCUUUGAUUUGCCUUCAUUGCAGCCUCCAACACCUUCAUUGUGUUGGUUUUGAGGGGGUGAAUUUAGUCCCACAUCGGAUAGAUAGGACUCUUGAGAAAAGUUGAUAAAGAGGAGGCACUCCUCACCUUACAAGCCGGUUUUGUAAGGAUGAGUUAGGCCCCAAAUUUCAACGGGUCAUAUAUCAUAUACCACAAAAAGUGAGCAUAAAACACUGUGCAGGCAAGAAGAAUUAAAAAAAUUAGGGUAUCAGGACUUUGUAAUGGUGAUUUUUAUUUGGGUUACAUUUAUUUUGGGAUAGUGAUAAUCACUGUCAAGUGAUUAGGUGGAAGUGAUGUAACUUUUAGGGAUUUCCUUCCUGAUUGUGUGGAAAAGUUUCAUACGUAUUGUUUAAGGAGCAUGAACUAUGCAGGCUGCACAAUGCAAUGACAUUAUGUAAAGUUUUUUUUUUUUUUUUUGGUUACUGUAAAGUUUUAUUAUUUGCAAAAUAUAAAAAAUUCUACUAUUUUGUGGAAACUAAAGAAUGUGAAUCAUAUUAUAUUGAACUUUAUAUACAACAUAUGAGUUUCACUGUCCCAGAUAUGCCUCUCUUAUUGUUUCUGAUUCUACGUUGAUAAGUUGGAAUAUGGAACCCAAAAGUAGUUUUGAUGAUAAGGGGUGAUAUAGAAUGAGAUUGUUGCAAUAUGUAAUUUGCAAUGGAUUAAUCCGAGUCUGCCCGUGGUGAUUCAACAGAGAAAUAUUAUACGAUUCAAGCACUUGUGGCAUAUACUAUUUCCUUAUUAACAGGCUACAAAUCUUGAAUUCUACAGUUUUUAGAUAAUCCAUAGUUGAAUGUAUAUUUACAUAUUCGUAGUUUUACUUUCUUAUUAUUCCGAAAGCAAUUUUGAGAUCUCUGUCGAAUUGCCUACCUAUCAUAAAGUUGAAUACAGGAAUAGAGGAUAAGUAACUUCUUUGCAGCUAUUACAUAAAAGUAAAGUAUAUGACUUAAUUCAUAUCUUGUUAAUCUGUGUAGAUACUCGGUUGGUCUAUGAAUGAAAACCGAAUUCUUCAUAUAAAAAAGAGUCCGUUUUGAUAUGAUUACCAUUCUAUAUAUAAAUGGUCACAACUUCAGAGUGAUCUAAUAGGGAACUAGUAUUUCACAUCAGAGGAUAAAGAUGGAUUUGAAUAAGCAUUUUCUAUUUGGUUCAGCAUCCUCAUUGCUGCUGACCAAAGCUUGUAAAUAAUAAACCAGCCCUCCUGCAUGUUUUGAAAUUUCCCAAUAAUGAAAGCUUCAAGCCUUCGGGUUUUUACAAUUUAUGGUGAGUCUGUUCUUUGAAAGUAUGCAUGUCUUAUACCAUUUUCUCCUCUCAAUGCACUUUAGCCUUGUCCUCAUCAUCAUAACCAAUGAAAAUAUAUCGUAUAUCUUCUCUGCAUUAAAGUCGUUCCAUUUGGUAGGGUGGGUGUUCUUUUAUUUCCCUUUUCUGAAGCAAAAGAUGCAUGCAGGUACACAAAACAAGUAUAAUAAGCCCCUAUGGCCCU